GAACAUGAUCAAAAUGUUGGGUGCAAUUUUGAAACAUAAGAGCCUUUGCAAGAGAGUGGAUUACUUGGUUUAUUUGUCUCCUAGUAAAACUCACCAAUGAGAUUGGGGUUAAUUUCAAUAGCUUUCUAAAUCUAUCAACUAUAUUGUGAGAUUAAGAGAAACCAUGUUGAAUCGAGUGUAGACUAUCAACGAGGACCUUGCAGUCUGAUUCUCCACAUGAAUUGCUUGUAUCUGCAUUGUCAGGUUAUAGCUUGGAGAAGUCCCCAAGCUUCAGCUUCUCUUGGAUCUGAAAGAGUAGUGAUCUGUUUUUCACGAAAACACCUUUGAAAUCUCUGAUACAUAUUCCUUCCCCGAAACCGUGCUGAUUCCUAAACAUCUUUG
rnacentral:lncRNA from 1 species